CGGAGGGUGCGAGCGUUGUCCGGAAUCACUGGGCGUAAAGGGCGCGUAGGCGGCGUCGGCAGUCUGUGGUGAAAGCUCGUGGCUCAACUACGAGUCGGCCAUGGAUACUCCGAUGCUUGAGCACUGUAGAGGCAGGUGGAAUUCCGGGUGUAGCGGUGGAAUGCGUAGAGAUCCGGAAGAACACCGGUGGCGAAGGCGGCCUGCUGGGCAGUAGCUGACGCUGAGGCGCGACAGCGUGGGGAGCAAACAGGAUUAGAUACCCUGGUAGUCCACGCCGUAAACGAUGGGCACUAGGUGCUUGGGGGAGCGACCCCCUGAGUGCCGGCGCUAACGCAUUAAGUGCCCCGCCUGGGGAGUACGGCCGCAAGGCUG
rnacentral:rRNA from 1 species